rnacentral:lncRNA from 1 species
UAUACUACAUCUAAUGUAUGUAUUAAACAAUAGAUCAGAUCUAUUACCUUGCAAGUUAGACGUUCUAACCUUACUGAUCCGGGCUUGAGGAUAAUGUUGCAAGCCACAUACGUAUCCGACCUCUAGGAGUCAUCCACACGAGCCCACGAAUCUCGAUCAGAAGUCCUGCUUCAGGAAAUCAGCACAGUAUGCUAGUACUGCGCUGAUCCUUCUUUGAUGGUUGAUCAGGUGCUUCUUUCUUCUUGAUUUGAACUCUUCCAAAGAUGAAAAGUAAGAAGAAAAGUUUCAAAUCUGAGACACUCUCAGAAAACUCAAGAUGGAGGGAGGAAAGAUAUGAAAACAAACAACCCUAGAAGAAGAUCCUCUUCUUCUUCUCGUUUCUCUCUCUAGACACCCUAUCUUGUGUCUAUUAUAUCUCCAUGACCCAAAGGUCUUUCUCUCUAAUUUUUGGAUGGCCCAA